rnacentral:lncRNA from 1 species
CUCAACUUCUGUGCCUCCUCCUGUUAGCUUAAAGUGGGAGGGAGAAAGUGCAGGGAACUUAUAAAAAGGGAAGAAGUGAAGGAGGUUGUCCUGGAAAAAUGUAUUUAAAAGCCUAAAGUUUACUCUCCCCUUGCCCAUUUCCCCAAGGAAAGCAUUGCUUUGUGAACCAAUCUGUUCUCUUUCCUUCCAGGAACCCAAAUCUGAUGUAGAUUUGACCCACAGAGGUAUUCCUACCUCUCUGAGCUAUCAGAUUGAGUGUUCUCAAGUCAUACCCCUAAAUCAGUGAUCCUGGGGAAAGACCUUUCUUUAGGGGAAAAAAGAGAAGAGAGAGAGAGUUGUCAUGGUGGCACAUACCUAUAAUCCCAGAGAUUCAGGAAGCUGAAGCAGGAGAGUUACAAUUUUUUGAGACUAGCCUGGGCAACUUAGACGCUGGCUCAAAACAAAGUAGAAAGAACUGGGGAUGUAGCUCAGUGCUUGCCCUGGGUUCGAUCCUCAAUGUGGAGAGAGAUAGACUUUGCCUGUUCUCUUUUCUUUAGAGAAAGUGAAGAAGGAGUUGUGGAGGGAUGUAUGAUUGUGAUUUCU